rnacentral:rRNA from 1 species
UACGUAGGGUGCGAGCGUUGUCCGGAAUUAUUGGGCGUAAAGAGCUCGUAGGCGGUGUGUCACGUCGGCCGUGAAAACCUGGGGCUUAACUCUGGGCGUGCGGUCGAUACGGGCAUCACUAGAGUUCGGCAGGGGAGACUGGAAUUCCUGGUGUAGCGGUGAAAUGCGCAGAUAAUCAGGAGGAACACCGGUGGCGAAGGCGGGUCUCUGGGCCGAAUACUGACGCUGGAGGCGCGAAAGCUAGGGGAGCAAACAGG